UCCAGUGUGGUGUAGUGGUUUGGGCACUGGACUAUGACUCUGGAGAUCAGGAUUCGAUUCCCCCACUCAAG